rnacentral:rRNA from 1 species
GACGAACGCUGGCGGCAUGCUUAACACAUGCGAGUCGAACGAUGAAGAAGAGAAUCGCGAACUUCGGUUCGAAAUUCGCUUCGGAUUAGUGGCAGACGGGUGAGUAACGCGUGAACAACCUACCUCUUACAGAGGGAUAGCCUCGGGAAACCGAGAUUAGUACCCUAUGACACAUUCAGUGAGGAAUCUUAAGAAUGUUAAUGCUACCGCGGUAAGAGAGGGGCUGGCGUCCCAUUAGCUAGUUGGUGAGGUAACGGCCCACCAAGGCGACGAUGGGUAACCGGCCUGAGAGGGUGAACGGUCACAUUGGAACUGAGACACAGGUCCAAACUCCUACGGGAGGCAGCAGUGGGGAAUAUUGUACAAUGGGAGGAACUCUGAUGCAGAGACGCCGCAUGAGCGAUGAAAGAAUUCGUUGCGUAAAGCUCUGCUCUAUGGGAAGACAAGGACUGUACCGCUAGAGAGAGCCCCGGCUAAAUACCUGGCAACACCCGCGGUAAGACGUAUGGGGCGAGCGUAGUGCGGAAUUCAUGAGCUUCAGGGGUACACCCGCGGUUGACCAAGUUUGGAUGUGAAAUCUUGUAGCUCAACUACAAACGUGCAUCCAAAACUGGCUAACUUGAGUUAAGGAGAGGUAAGUGGAAUUCCUGGUGUAGCGGUGGAAUGCGUAGAUAUCAGGAGGAAUAUCGGUGGCGAAGGCGACUUACUGGACUUAUACUGACGCUGAGGUACGAAAGCGUGGGGAGCAAACAGGAUUAGAUACCCUGGUAGUCCACGCCGUAAACGAUGAGUGCUAGGUGUCGGGGGUCAAACCUCGGUGCCGACGUUAACACAUUAAGCACUCCGCCUGGGGAGUACGUGCGCAAGCAUGAAACUCAAAGGAAUUGACGGGGACCCGCACAAGCAGCGGAGCAUGUGGUUUAAUUCGUGGCUACGCGAAGAACCUUACCAGGGCUUGACAUAUACAUGAUAGAACCUAGAGAUAGGGAAAAGGAGGAAACUUGUUUCCUACAUGUAUACAGGUGGUGCAUGGUUGUCGUCAGCUCGUGUCGUGAGAUGUUGGGUUAAGUCCCGCAACGAGCGCAACCCUUGCAUAUAGUUACUAACAGAUCAUGCUGAGGACUCUAUAUGGACUGCCGAUGAUAAAUUGGAGGAAGGUGGGGAUGACGUCAAAUCAUCAUGCCCUUUAUGUCCUGGGCUACACACGUGCUACAAUGGUCGGUACAAAGAGCAGCGAAAUGGUGACAUCAAGCGAAUCUCAAAAAGCCGAUCCCAGUUCGGAUUGUACUCUGCAACUCGAGUACAUGAAGUCGGAGUUGCUAGUAAUCGUAGAUCAGAAUGCUACGGUGAAUGCGUUCCCGGGUCU